rnacentral:rRNA from 1 species
UUGUUGGUAAGGUAAAAGCUUACCAAGGCUUCGAUCAGUAGCUGGUCUGAGAGGACGACCAGCCACACUGGGACUGAGACACGGCCCAGACUCCUACGGGAGGCAGCAGUGGGGAAUUUUGGACAAUGGGGGCAACCCUGAUCCAGCCAUGCCGCGUGAGUGAAGAAGGCCUUCGGGUUGUAAAGCUCUUUCAGCCGGAACGAAACGGUUACGGAUAACACCCGUGACUACUGACGGUACCGGAAGAAGAAGCACCGGCUAACUACGUGCCAGCAGCCGCGGUAAUACGUAGGGUGCGAGCGUUAAUCGGAAUUACUGGGCGUAAAGCGUGCGCAGGUGGUUUUGUAAGUCAGAUGUGAAAGCCCCGGGCUCAACCUGGGAACUGCGUUUGAAACUACAAGACUAGAGUGUGGCAGAGGGGGGUGGAAUUCCGCGUGUAGCAGUGAAAUGCGUAGAGAUGUGGAGGAACACCGAUGGCGAAGGCAGCCCCCUGGGUCAACACUGACGCUCAGGCACGAAAGCAUGGGGAGCAAACAGGAUUAGAUACCCUGGUAGUCCAUGCCCUAAACGAUGUCAACUAGUUGUCGGGCCUUUACGGGCUUGGUAACGUAGCUAACGCGUGAAGUUGACCGCCUGGGGAGUGCGAUCGCAAGAUUAAAACUCAAAUGAAUUGACGGGGACCCGCACAAGCGGUGGAUUAUGUGGAUUAAUUCGAUGCAACGCGAAAAACCUUACCUACCCUUGACAUGUAUCGAAGCCCGCAGAAAAGCGGGGGUGCCCGAAAGGGAACGAUAACACAGGUGCUGCAUGGCUGUCGUCAGCUCGUGUCGUGAGAUGUUGGGUUAAGUCCCGCAACGAGCGCAACCCUUGUCAUUAAUUGCCAUCAUUUAGUUGGGCACUUUAAUGAGACUGCCGG